rnacentral:rRNA from 1 species
UACAUGUGGGGCAAGCGUUGUUCGGAAUUACUGGGCAUAAAGGGUGCGUAGGCGGUUCGCUAAGUUGGAUGUGAAAACUCUGGGCUCAACCCAGAGCCUGCAUCCAAUACUGACGAGCUAGAGUUCUGGAGGGGGUAGCGGAAUUCCUGGUGUAGCGGUGAAAUGCGUAGAUAUCAGGAGGAACACCGGUGGCGAAGGCGGCAUCCUGGACCAACACUGACGCUGAUGAGCGAAAGCCAGGGGAGCAAACGGG